GACGGAGGAUGCAAGUGUUAUCCGGAAUUAUUGGGCGUAAAGGCGUCCGCAGGUGGUUGUGCAAGUCUGCUGUCAAAUGCGCGGAGCUUAACUCCGUAAAGGCAGUGGAAACUGAACGACUAGAGUUUGGUAGGGGUAGCGGGAAUUCCCAGUGUAGCGGUGAAAUGCGUAGAUAUUGGGAAGAACACCAGCGGCGAAAGCGCGCUACUGGACCGAGACUGACACUCAUGGACGAAAGCUAGGGGAGCGAAAGGG
rnacentral:rRNA from 1 species